GCCUGGGUGGCUCAGUCGGUUGAGCGUCCGACUCUUCAUUUCGGCUCAGGUCAUGAUCUCAUGGUUCGUAAGUUCGAGCCCUACUUCGGGCU
rnacentral:tRNA from 1 species